UGCGGUUAUACAAAUAAUAUAAUUUAAUUUUAUUAGUAAAAAUUAAUUUUAUUAAGAAAAAUUUUUAUAUAAAAUUUUUUAAGUGAAAUUUUAAAUUUUAAGGAUAAAUUUUAAUUUUAAAAUGAAGUUUAUAAGUUUAAUUAAUAAACUAGGAUUAGAUACCCUAUUAUUUUAAAUGUAAUUAAAAAUAUUAAAUUAGUAUUAGUUAUGUUCUUAAAAAUUAAAAAUUUUGGCGGUAUUUUAGUCUUUUCAGAGGAACCUGUUCUAUAAAUGAUAGUCCACGAUUUAAUUUAUUUAUAUUAUUAAUUUGUAUAUCAUCGUAAUUAAGUAUUUUAUUAAAAUUAUAAAUAUUUAAGAUUUUAAAUUAAAAAAUUAAUCAGAUCAAGGUGCAAUUUAUAUAUAAAUAGUAAUGGGUUACAAUAAAUAUAUUUUUGGAAAAUUUUUUUUAUUAGAGGUUUGAAUUUGGAUUUGAUAGUAUUUUAAUAAAUUAAUUWAUUUGAUUUKGGCUCUAAWAUAUGU
rnacentral:rRNA from 1 species